GGUUGUUAGGUCGUUGGGUUAGGUUUGGUACGCAGCUAUUAAUGUCAGUGUCUGGAAACAGUAUAUUAUUUAUGUUUACUCUCGGCCAGAGUAAGAAUAACCCAAGAUUUACAGAUUCCCCUAAUUACGAGAACAACGUCGAGGUCAAAUUUCCAAUUGGUAGAUCGAAUGGGGUCACACUCAAGUACCCCAAUCAAGAGGUCCAAGAAGAUUCAAGAGAAUCAAUUGAGUUCUAGCAGAAUUUCAGACCAGAUUAAACGCUUCUCUCGGCAUGGGAAUUCAAGCAAGUUUGCUUCUUGCUUUGGAAUCUGAUUCAACUUCAUGCUAGAAACCAGAAAAUCGAUAUUGUCACUUAAAAAUUAUACACGAAGCCAUAUGCACUGACGAUUGCACGGGUGUCAUUCGGAAUGAUUUGACAAAUGAAAUUGCAAGGCUUUUAAGGUGCACAAAGAGAUUUUCUGAAAUGUGGUAUAACGAGAUGCGUUUACAAUUACGAUGCAAUCCGUUCCAACCGGUAACUCAAUACCAUGCCAAUCCCCGGUAACGAGAGUAAUGCCGUUACGCCUUUCCACUUUGUGAACAUUGCGGUUCAUUCUCUGGUCGAUCGCUUUAACAAUUUUCAACGAGAAUACUGCUGAGCAGAGCUUUAAGGGACUAAGGGAAUAGAAGCGAAAUAAUAAUAAAAGGUCUACGAGCUUUGGUCUGACACUUGGAAAUUGGUGUUUUGUCGCUGCUUGAGAAUACUAAAGAUUUUGGGAUAUGCGAAUAUCGCGUACUCGAUGGCUACUCAAAUUUGAAGUUGCUGACUUUACUUUAGCGACCCCGGUAUCCUUCUGGAACUACAUGACCUUUUGUGGGCUCCUUGGACGAUGUGGAACAAUGGCUUUCGUACUAGUUUAUAGAUACGCACUUGGGCUUUUGUCUCUGUCGGCCGUUUGGGGGAAAGCCGGACAGGGUGAAAGUUAUCCCUUAUGUCCGACAAUAUCAGGCUAUCAAUUUUUGAUUGAAACGUACUGUAUACGUUCACGAAUUAUGGAUUUGAUGGAAUCAGAAAUUUGAGAAAAAUUGAACUGGGUGUGAUGGUAAAGCUGAAGGGUGGUGCUGAGUGGAAGAGGAUGGGGAACUUACUGCUAGCAGCACAAUGGAGCGGUACUUGUGAUUGUUUUACAAGAAGGACGAUCCUUUAGCCCAAAGACCGUAAAUUAUUUUCGUAUCACGAGCCACGAAGUCUUCUGGAUUACUUUACCCCUUACUACAGAUGCUGGAAUGGACCACCGUGCUAUAACAAGUGCCCUUACCGCAGCAGUAGCUGUACUGGAUGACCUAACAGGGUUUAUGUGUACAGUCGGGUUAGUGUGUAUGCAGAUGAUGAAGAGUAAUAACGGUACUGCGUGCUUCAUCCUACACUGGGGAGUUUACCUAGACUCGAUGAUUGAUGAGACUGAUACAUACAUAUGUACACGUAUCUAUGGAUUAUAGAGAGAAAUAAGCUGGAAGCCGCGGAAAAUGAAAAAAUCGCCAGUUCUCCAAGUUAGGUAGUGGCUUUCCAUUGGCAACAGUGCGAAUUCGCACUUUAUACAUAUGGACCGAACUUAAGACGUGAAAUUCUCAGAAGAGAGAUGAAUAUCCAUCAUACAUGGGAUCUUGUCGUUUCUGAAGCUCAGAUAGAAAAAGGAAUAGAAAAUGUUACUCCUGUAGAUUUUCUACAGUCACACAGAUUUAUUUGUCAUAAGAAAUAUCUGUUUUCUAGGCAGUGCGUUUACAUAUUUAUCUCUUCUGGACACGGGUCCAGGAAGAAUUUUUCAGAAUCGCGAAGAUGUCUGUGUUAUUCCUGUGCGUCGAUAAAAAUUCGUAGAAAUUGUGAUAACUGGAUAUGUAACGUAUGCUACAUAUGAUUCCAUACUACAUGAGUUCUAUAACGUUGAAGUGUUCCGUAGUAUUUUUUUUCCAUUUCAAAUAUAGAAUUGUAUGAAUUUUUUUUUGUAUUUUUGAAAUUUACAUCUUUUGCUGCUUUUCUGCUUUGUUGGAUAUCUUACGAGAUCUUUAAGCUUGAGGGCUUUACUCUGGCGCAGCAUAAAUUUCAAGGAAUGCAUGCGAGCUGAAUGCAGAUUUGCGUAUUUCGAUCUUUCCCGUCGUAAUCUUGUAUUUUUCUUCUUUCACAGGAUUCGAGAGAUUACAUUGUCAGUGGAGUGAAACGUGAGUGAAAGAAAUUCAAUGAAAAAAAAAAAAGAAGCGAGAUCCUUUAAUCCUUUAUGGCGUCUGAUGAAAGCACACGGAGGAAGAAUACGAGUAUGACGGAAUCGUGAAAGUAUCAUCAAAUUUGAACAAUUGUAUCGCCAGUAUAAAAAUUUUCUACAGCAUCCAGCAUUCACCAUACCUAUGUAUUUUUAUGUUAUUAUGAAUACCAAUGGAUAUUGCCAGACAGUUAACAGUUCUGGUAUUUCGAUAGAACAGUCUGGUACAUGUCAACCAACGAGACCUGAAAAGUCUGCAAGUCUUCGCUGACUAGAUCAGCGCUCUUCUCGUGCAUCGCGUGAAGGGGAAACCCAAGAUUUGUCCAGGACAAAUUAAAACCCAUGUCCUCAUUCCAAGAAAAGAUCCAAGGCAUGGUACCAAAGGUCUGCCCUCUCCCAUGUAUGUAGAAAUUUCGCCCAUGAGGCUCUUUUAAAAAUUGGUUUAGAGUUACACUUCAGCUUCCACCACAUACAGAUCACUGUGCAAAAAAUAAAUAAAAAGAAUACAUCACCA